rnacentral:rRNA from 1 species
AGUGAACGCUGGCGGUAUGCCUAACACAUGCAAGUCGAACGGCAGCACAGUAAGAGCUUGCUCUUACGGGUGGCGAGUGGCGGACGGGUGAGGAAUACAUCGGAAUCUACUUUUUCGUGGGGGAUAACGUAGGGAAACUUACGCUACUACCGCAUACGACCUACGGCUGAAAUCAGUGGAUCUUCGGACCUUGCGCGAUUGAAUGAGCCGAUGUCGGAUUAGCUAGUUGGCGGGGUAAAGGCCCACCAAGGCGACGAUCCGUAGCUGGUCUGAGAGGAUGAUCAGCCACACUGGAACUGAGACACGGUCCAGACUCCUACGGGAGGCAGCAGUGGGGAAUAUUGGACAAUGGGCGCAAGCCUGAUCCAGCCAUACCGCGUGGGUGAAGAAGGCCUUCGGGUUGUAAAGCCCUUUUGUUGGGAAAGAAAAGCAGCAGGUUAAUACCCCGCUGUUCUGACGGUACCCAAAGAAUAAGCACCGGCUAACUUCGUG